rnacentral:rRNA from 1 species
GACGAACGCUGGCGGCGUGCUUAACACAUGCAAGUCGAACGGAAAGGCCCUGCUUUUGUGGGGUGCUCGAGUGGCGAACGGGUGAGUAACACGUGAGUAACCUGCCCUUGACUUUGGGAUAACUUCAGGAAACUGGGGCUAAUACCGGAUAGGAGCUCCUGCUGCAUGGUGGGGGUUGGAAAGUUUCGGCGGUUGGGGAUGGACUCGCGGCUUAUCAGCUUGUUGGUGGGGUAGUGGCUUACCAAGGCUUUGACGGGUAGCCGGCCUGAGAGGGUGACCGGGGAAGGGGGGAGUGAGAUAUGGAGAAGAAGGGGACGGGAGGCAAGGGCGGGGAAUAGGGUAGAGGGGGACGAAGUAUGAGGUAGCAACGCCGUGCGCGGGAGGAAGGGAGGAGGGGGGGAAAACGAGUAAGGAGGGGACGAAGAGGGAGGGACGGUAAGGGGGAAAGAAGGACCGGCUAAUGACGUC